GGGAACAGGAAGGCUGCGUAUCUCUUAAACCCCACCCCCGGAACCACGCUGCAGCCAUGAGCCCAGAGAGCAAAAGGGAAAGAAAAAUAGUACUGCAAAGAGGGAUAUGACGUGUAAAAGACCACUGAGAAGAUUUGACAUAUAUACAGACAGUGGAAAGGAAAAACUCAAUGAGACAACAUAAGGAAGAAACUUUGAGAGGAACCAGACUCAAACGGAAACCCAUCCUCUUCUGG